AGUGUGGCUCAGUGGUAGAGCACCAUAUCUAGCGUACAUGAGGUCUUGGAUUCAAUUCCCAGCACU
rnacentral:tRNA from 1 species